UUAUCGGAGAGUUUGAUCCUGGCUCAGGACGAACGCUGGCGGCGUGCCUAAUACAUGCAAGUCGAGAGGACAGAU
rnacentral:rRNA from 1 species